CAGUCGAACGAAGCGCUUAAGAAUGAUUCUUCGGAUGAAUUCUUUUGUGACUUAGUGUCGGACGGGUGAGUAACGCGUGGGUAACCUGCCUCACACAGGGGGAUAACAGUUGGAAACGACCGCUAAUACCGCAUAACCCGCUAGGGCCGCAUGGCCCGGACGGAAAAGAUUUAUCGGUGUGAGAUGGACCCGCGUUGGAUUAGCUAGUUGGCAGGGUAACGGCCUACCAAGGCGACGAUCCACAGCCGGCCUGAGAGGGUGAACGGCCACAUUGGGACUGAGACACGGCCCAAACUCCUACGGGAGGCAGCAGUGGGGAAUAUUGCACAAUGGGGGAAACCCUGAUGCAGCGACGCCGCGUGAGUGAAGAAGUAUUUCGGUAUGUAAAGCUCUAUCAGCAGGGAAGAAAAUGACGGUACCUGACUAAGAAGCCCCGGCUAACUACGUGCCAGCAGCCGCGGUAAUACGUAGGGGGCAAGCGUUAUCCGGAUUUACUGGGUGUAAAGGGAGCGUAGACGGUUGAGCAAGUCAGAAGUGAAAGGCUGGGGCUCAACCCCGGGACUGCUUUUGAAACUGUUUAACUAGAGUGCUGGAGAGGUAAGCGGAAUUCCUAGUGUAGCGGUGAAAUGCGUAGAUAUUAGGAGGAACACCAGUGGCGAAGGCGGCUUACUGGACAGUAACUGACGUUGAGGCUCGAAAGC
rnacentral:rRNA from 1 species